GUUAUUCAGUAUUUAUGUAGUUGUAUGUAGCAUGAUCUUCAAAUCUGAAUUUAUUAUCUUUCCCUUCUCUCAACAGGUCCCCUAGUCCCUUCAUCAUUUACUUUAAAACUUCAGCUUCGUUACAAAGCAAAAACAAAGGCACUUUUAAGAGCCACGUUUGUCUAGUUAAUUGUUGUUAGUCCGUCUGGUUCUCUGUUGUUCUUGCUCUUUUGCUCUUCCCCCCUAUCCCUUUAGUGUUGUCUUGUUUGUCCUUGUUCAUCAUGAGUGACAAUUCCAAUUUCGAACAGGUCCUUAAUGAGCUUGAUGAGCUUGUUGAACAUUCUAAAUUAAAUUAUGAACUCCAGACCUUGGAAGAUUUCAUCAAUAAGAUGCCGGGAGAACAGGAGGCAGCACCAUCCACCAGCCAUCAACCUGUCAGGUGGCUGAAGAGAGACAGUGAUGGAAAUGUUGUCUAUGACAGACCAAGAUCAUCCCGAAACCAAACGGCUAGUCACAGCUACAGUCGUAAGACUGGUGCUCAUACUAGGAUGUUGGACAGCAGCGUUGAGAUAACCAACUACUGUCCUCCUGACACUGUUGAGACUUUCCUUGAAGAGCUAAACCACUCACAGGGUGAUGACUUGGAUGAUCAGGAAACGGCACCAGCACCACCACGAGCUUCCUCAGACUGGUCUACUCGAAAAAGUCUCCUCUCAGAGAGGUGGGAGAAAGAGAGAACCUGUCUGGUGAAUACCAUGGUGGCACAACAAAAUGUGACAACUCAGAUCUGCCAACAAUGUGGCAGCAGUCCAGCUGCUGUCCGUUGUCGUGACUGCCGACCACAACCAUUCUUCUGUGCUGAUUGUGAUGUCAGUAUACACCGAAACCACGUGUUCCACAACAGGGAUGCAACAAUAGCUGGAUUCUUUCAGCCAUUGCCUCCAACA
rnacentral:lncRNA from 1 species